AACGAACGCUGGCGGCAUGCCUAACACAUGCAAGUCGAACGAGACCUUCGGGUCUAGUGGCGCACGGGUGCGUAACGCGUGGGAACCUGCCCUUAGGUUCGGAAUAACUCCCCGAAAGGGGUGCUAAUACCGGAUAAUGUCUUCGAACCAAAGAUUUAUCGCCUUUGGAUGGGCCCGCGUUGGAUUAGCUAGUUGGUAGGGUAAAAGCCUACCAAGGCGACGAUCCAUAGCUGGUCUGAGAGGAUGAUCAGCCACACUGGGACUGAGACACGGCCCAGACUCCUACGGGAGGCAGCAGUGGGGAAUAGUGGACAAUGGGCGAAAGCCUGAUCCAGCAAUGCCGCGUGAGUUAUGAAGGCCUUAGGGUUGUAAAGCUCUUUUACCCGGGAUGAUAAUGACAGUACCGGGAGAAUAAGCUCCGGCUAACUCCGUG
rnacentral:rRNA from 1 species